rnacentral:rRNA from 1 species
GAGUUUGAUCCUGGCUCAGAUUGAACGCUGGCGGCAUGCCUUACACAUGCAAGUCGAACGGCAGCACGGGAGCUUGCUCCUGGUGGCGAGUGGCGAACGGGUGAGUAAUGCAUCGGAACGUAUCCUGGAGUGGGGGAUAACGUAGCGAAAGUUACGCUAAUACCGCAUAUUCUGUGAGCAGGAAAGCGGGGGACCUUCGGGCCUCGCGCUCUUGGAGCGGCCGAUGUCGGAUUAGCUAGUUGGUGAGGUAAAGGCUCACCAAGGCGACGAUCCGUAGCAGGUCUGAGAGGAUGAUCUGGCCACACUGGAACUGAGACACGGUCCAGACUCCUACGGAGGCAGCAGUGGGGAAUUUUGGACAAUGGGGGCAACCCUGAUCCAGCCAUGCCGCGUGAGUGAAGAAGGCCUCGGUUGUAA